AACGAACGCUGGCGGCACGUUUUAAGCAUGCAAGUCGAAUGGCAGUGGGGGCAACCCCAUGAGAAUGGCGAACGGGUGAGUAACACGUAGGUGAUCUGCCUGACGGAUGGGGAUAGCUUGUGGAAACACAGGGUAAUACCGAAUGAGCUGACGAGACUUUGGUUUUGUUAGUAAAGGUGCUACGGCACCGCCGACAGAGGAGCCUGCGGCUGAUUAGCUAGCUGGUGGGGUAAAGGCCUACCAAGGCGACGAUCAGUAGCCGGCCUGAGAGGGUGUACGGCCACACUGGAACUGAGACACGGUCCAGACUCCUACGGGAGGCAGCAGCUAAGAAUCUUCCGCAAUGGGCGAAAGCCUGACGGAGCGAUGCCGGGUGAUCGAUGAAGGUCGAGAGAUUGUAAAGAUCUUUUCUACAUGAGGAAUAAGUCUGGGAGGGAAUGCCUGGAUGAUGACGUUAGUGUAGGAAUAAGCCCCGGCUAGUUACGUGCCAGCCGCCGCAGUAA
rnacentral:rRNA from 1 species